UCCUACGGGAGGCAGCAGUGGGGAAUAUUGCACAAUGGGCGCAAGCCUGAUGCAGCCAUGCCGCGUGUGUGAAGAAGGCCUUCGGGUUGUAAAGCACUUUCAGUCGUGAGGAAGGUAGUGUAGUUAAUAGCUGCAUUAUUUGACGUUAGCGACAGAAGAAGCACCGGCUAACUCCGUGCCAGCAGCCGCGGUAAUACGGAGGGUGCGAGCGUUAAUCGGAAUUACUGGGCGUAAAGCGCAUGCAGGUGGUUUGUUAAGUCAGAUGUGAAAGCCCGGGGCUCAACCUCGGAAUAGCAUUUGAAACUGGCAGACUAGAGUACUGUAGAGGGGGGUAGAAUUUCAGGUGUAGCGGUGAAAUGCGUAGAGAUCUGAAGGAAUACCGGUGGCGAAGGCGGCCCCCUGGACAGAUACUGACACUCAGAUGCGAAAGCGUGGGGAGCAAACAGGAUUAGAUACCCUGGUAGUCCACGCCGUAAACGAUGUCUACUUGGAGGUUGUGGCCUUGAGCCGUGGCUUUCGGAGCUAACGCGUUAAGUAGACCGCCUGGGGAGUACGGUCGCAAGAUUAAAACUCAAAUGAAUUGACGGGGGCCCGCACAAGCGGUGGAGCAUGUGGUUUAAUUCGAUGCAACGCGAAGAACCUUACCUACUCUUGACAUCCAGAGAACUUUCCAGAGAUGGAUUGGUGCCUUCGGGAACUC
rnacentral:rRNA from 1 species